ensembl:snRNA U6 U6 spliceosomal RNA
GUUCUCAUCUCAGCAGCACUUACACUAAAAGUGGAAGGAUACAGAGAAGACGGGCACGGCCCCCGCGUGACCACGACACACAAAUUCGUGAAUCAUUCAACAUUAAA